rnacentral:rRNA from 1 species
GUCGAGAAUAAUUCACAAUGGGGGCAACCCUGAUGGUGCAACGCCGCGUGGAGGAUGAAGGUCUUCGGAUUGUAAACUCCUGUCAUCCGGGAGCAAGACCUGGCCGUGAAUAGCGGACAGGGUUGAUAGUACCGGAAGAGGAAGGGACGGCUAACUUCGUGCCAGCAGCCGCGGUAAUACGAAGGUCCCGAGCGUUGUUCGGAAUCACUGGGCGUAAAGGGAGCGUAGGCGGCGCGGUAAGUCAGAUGUGAAAUCCUAGGGCUCAACCCUGGAACUGCAUCCGAUACUGCUGUGCUUGAGCAAUGGAGAGGUAGCCGGAAUUCUCGGUGUAGCAGUGAAAUGCGUAGAUAUCGAGAGGAACACUCGUGGCGAAAGCGGGCUACUGGACAUUUGCUGACGCUGAGGCUCGAAGGCCGGGGGAGCGAAAGGGAUUAGAUACCCCGGUAGUCC